UGCAGUGAGUUGCAUUUCCUUUCUGUAUAAAUACUGGCCACACAAACACAGAUGAGGAGAUAAAUACAGUCCACUGUCUAAACUAGUGUUUGUCAGCAUCUUGAUGAGACCAACAUUUCUGAAUCAAAGAAAAUAUAGACAAACUGAGGAGAUGAACAGAGAAGAUGGGAAGAGCACUGAUAAUAUCUGCGCAAAUGAUGUUAUAAGAGGAAGUGAUUCAGUGAAGAUCAGAAACUACAGAGCUGCACUAGUGUGUUUGGUGCUGCUGUGUGUUCAAUGAGACGAGGAGCUGGACCGAGAGCAGAAGACACUGUACAGAGAGAGGAGCAGAUCUGAUCAUCAUAAACAACAGAGAGGAAUAUGAUUUUGUUAUGAAAAGGUUUGGUGGUAGUACAGUCUAUAUUGAUCUGACUGACAGUGAUGUGGAGGGCAGAUGGAAAUGGGUUGAUGGCAGCAACAUGACCUCUGGGUUCUGGGAUUCUGGAGAGCCAAAUGGAUACAGAAUAGAGAACUGUGGUGUGAUUGUGAAUAAUGACCCAAGGUGGCCUACUUUAUUUGGGUGGCAUAAUGUUGCAUGUAUUAGAGAUUUUCAGUGGAUCUGUGAGAAGAGGAUUUCACAAUUUAUACUGCCAUAGGAACAUCACAUAUAUUUUUGACAGUUUUAAAGUUCAACAGUACAAAGCAUUUGUAAUAACUGAUCAUCAUCUAAAGCGUUAUUUCUCAAUCUUGUUCCUGGAGGAUGCCCACAACUGCUCAUUCUGAAUUUCUCCUUUGUCAGACACACAUUUCAUGUCUGAGCUUUUUGUUUUGUUGUUAUUCUGCAAUAAUCUAACUUCAAUAAAAUAAAAUAAAAAUAAAAAUCUCUGUUUUGACAUUACUAUUCAUAAUUCUAAAGUUAUUUUCCGCAUUAAAAUUUUCCGUCAUUAAACAUAAGAGAACCUUAAAAUAAAUAAAUAAAUAAAUAAAAACACAGAUGAAAAAUUAUUUAGUAACCAAAAACUAUUACACAAAACAGAACUGUCUCAUAUUUAAUUUGGUAAAAUUAAUUAAUUUGAAUAAAAGAAAAGAAAAGAAAAAAGAAAAUAAAAGAAAAGAAAAAAGAUAUAUUACCAGGAAAAUCACUACACUAGAAGUCACUACAGAGUUUGAGUUUCUGCAGCUCUGAAGCCCACAAUUAAGUCCACAAAAAGGAUUCAGAACAAAAACA